GGGGAUGAGGAAUAGAAAACAAAGUUUCAAGCUAAUUCCAAAGUCUUUGUUUGAUCAACUGUUCAGGCAACUCUUCCAUACAGCAUCUCUGCACAGACAAGCUGAAUGCAUUUUAAGAAUAACUUAAUUUGCUUCUGCCAACGAAGGGGUAGAAACAUUCAUGCUCUCGGUGGCAAUCCUCCUCUCCUCUCUAUCCUUCUUCUCUCAUGUCUGAGUUCAUCUUCUACGCCAUUUACUUUGACAAUGAUCAUUGGCAGCUACUUCACUGUGCUGACUCAGUGGCACGUGUGCUACAAAUUAGCAAUACAGUAACUGUAUGAAGCCUGUCCUGGUUAAAAGCCUUUCUGCCCAAGCAGUUGUCAUGAGCAAGUUUGUUGGGAAGAUCGUGGGAACUCUGAAGUUGUGCACAGCUCCCCCUUCCCUCCCACCAAUGCAGUGCUGUUUGUGUUAUGCCAGGACAUUUGCUGUUUCUUGCCGCUGGUUGCUGAGCUGUGCCAGCAGCACUCUGACCUUCUGUGAAGGGAAUACGUCAAGGAGCUGUCUCAGUCCAUCCUAACCCUCUGCCUGAUAGCAAACAGUGGGCUGAGACUUAACCAUAAAUGUCACUUAAUGUGCACCUGGAUGUGUGAUGGAGUGAAUAACUUCUUGUCAGCAUGGGUCCCAGGCCACGCGCAGCUCAACUGGUUCUCAAUAAUCACUUCUAACUUCUUCUGAUACAUUUUAAAUGUUCUGCGUCAGUGAAAAUUCAGAUUCAGUGUUUCUGAGCAAGCAGUGGCGUUCACAGUAACUUACAGAGCUGUCAAGUCAUGAAAUACAGAGCCCUGACAGACAAGAUUUUAUAGAGUUUGUUUUUGGACAUGUGUCCAUGUGUUUGGAUACAACUUACAAUGAGAUUAUACUGUUGGGAGCAUUCUUUUGGAUCCCACUAACUUCAGAAGGGGCUGUGUGUGUAUACAGUUGAACAGAACUUGGUUUGUGGCAGUCUUAUGUCCUAUAUAAAACACAACGUCACUGGUAUCUGGAGGUGUAACCUUUGCUCUGUGUCUGCUGACUACAGCAUAGGCUUUGCUUGCUUCUACCUGGGAGGAUGAGAGCAGUAUUACACCUUGGAAGAGCAGGGAGAGUAUAGAUGACUGAAUGCUACUGUGUAUGUGCAAAUAUGACGCUGGUGAAAGGUGGUAUGGAGCAUUCAGGGACAGUUUUCAAAAUGUCAUUCACAUGUUCAAAUUCCCAGGCCCAGAGACUUGGAAAAGGUCAGGAGGUCCCUGUAAAAAUAGCUGGGAUAGCAGGUUGAAGAGAAUGUCUCAAGUCUAGAUGUGUAUAUGUACUCGUGUAUAGGUGUUAUGGAAAAUACUAUUUGAGUUUGCAGCUGGUCUAUCUGUCUUUCUCCACUCAUUCCAAACAAAAUUUGCUGAGACUUUGACGUUUAUGAUGGAUAAAUUGUCAGGGAGCUCUGAUCAUUGGCUGAGGCUCUCCUCACCUCAUGUAUUCAUCUCUGAGCGGCAGUGCAACAGCACUACCAUGACCUGCCCCUUCUUUCCUUCGGAUGCCCUGUAAGCUGGCACAAAAAGCUCUCUGUGCUGAGGAAGACCACAAAAUGCCUAAGGAUGGAGAGCAAUGGGAAGGCCUAGGGUUUGGGAGCUGCCUUAAAAAACUUCUGAGCAUACAGCAGCUCUUAUAGAGAGGUAUUUAUAGCCAUAUGUUUGUAAUAAGCAGUGAAGGGGAGUGCAGGUGGCGAGUCACCUCCCUGGUGGUUUGUAGGAGUUACUAGGAUUAAGCUAUGAAAGCAAGUACUUGCAUGAGAUUCUUCUUGAAGAAUAAGGCAUAAUAAAUACAGUUCACAUUUACUAUUUCUUUUGGUGUACAUUAAUCUCAAAGUUGUACUGAAAGCUCGUGUUUAUUAACAGUAGAUAUUCAGAAUUAGAGCUGCAUAGAAGGAAUAUUUUUGUCAGGUAAAAUUUCUGAAAAUGACAUAAAAUAAUUCAUUUUGAGUGUAGCUGACUCUACAUUUCAAGAAAUAUAUAUAUAUACACACACAUAUAAUAAUAGAAAAGAGGCUGUAAUCCAAUCAGCCCCAUGCUUAAGACUAGGGCAGCCAAACAAGCUUCACACAUCUAGUUUAUUUGUCCUUCCUACAUUUCUGUGGAAAAACUGAUCUUCCCAAAAGGGAAUAAAUGCAUUCCAGUUAUGCUGCAGUAUUAUGAAUGUUGUCUAUACAAAUACUGCUGGCAAUGACAAAAAAAAAUAUUUGUCAUCUUUCUGUCUUUUAGCACUCUUGUGGGCAUCGUUCACAGUUUAGGCUGGUCAUUAUCUCAGCAGUUUGAGAGGAAGUGAUGGUCCCCUCCCGAUCUUGAGAGACAUUGGUUAUGAAUAGGAGCAGUGAUGGAAUCGCAGCUCUCCUGCUGAGAGUGAAAUCUCUUCCUGAUUGAAGUCCGUGACAAAACUCCCAUCAGCUUCAAAAGAGAAAGAUCUCAGCACGGCAACUUGAAUGCCUCUGAAAUCCACCCUCUGGCUGCCUAGAAAGGUCAAGGUUUUCUGAAGGAAAAGAAGAAGAAUAAGAUUAAAGUUAUGAAUGGCAUAAAGAGGAAGCUGUUAGAUAAGUUCACAGUUCAUUGCUAAAUCUGUGUUUAUUAAGGAAGCUGACUUUUGUGAAAGCUAAUGUAGGCAUUCAACUGGCUUAGGUAUCUCUGAUCAUAAUGAGAAUAGAAUUAUUUCUCCUUUGGUCUGAUAUUAUGGAAACAAAUAUUUAAGGUGUAAUUGACACAAAAGUUAUUUGCAGUGCAAUUAUGGUUGUUAAUUUAAUGAGAACACUCUGCAGAAAGAAGCCGAAGUUUUCCAGGCCUUGCACCUGCUAAGCUUUUAAAGAUCUCAUAAGUGCCAUUCUUUGUGUGUUGCUCAUCAGUGUUGCAAAGAAAGUCCUCAGGAAAAAGUGCAUACAAUUAUUUAAAAUCUUUUGAAAAUGAGAAAUGAAAGCCUGAGGAUUUUGAUGUGAACUUAGUAGUUGCUUGGUGUAUGCACAAGAAGUUUAGCCUCUAUAUCUAAAUCUUGUCUCUGAAUUGCAGUAACAUCUCAUAGUUUGACUUUAGUACUCAGCAAUAAGGGGAAAAAAAGAAAAAAAUAUAUUUCGUUUCUCUUUCCUUUACCAGAGCAAAGCAGGGCCCUGUCAUAUUUACGGAGUUAGGGAAGUUUAAGACUUUUAUUGCUUGGAGGGAGCUUCAGAUUUAUGGGUUAAGGGAAGUUUAAGGGGUUUGUUAGUUUAAGGGGGUGUAGCUUCCUAAAUAAAGCCACAAGCAAACUCACUAAACCAGUGUAUCUCUUCAGUGCGUAAACAGAAUGCCCUCUGUGAGCAAGAUGCUGGGAGAGCUCAACAGAGCAAGCUGCAAAGGGCUGAAAUAUCUCUGCAGCCACAGGAGCUCCUGUGUUGUAUGAGGCCUCCUAUGUACCAGUUCUCUCCUCAGGACAGGUUUUUUUCUGGGAUGGUUCUUCUGUGAAGAGUCUUCAGGAUGGUGGCUGAGGAGGAAGGCUGGGCUCAGGAACCGGCCCUAAUGACAGACCUUAUAGGGCUUUCAAGAGAGGAACAGAGGCUGUGCUAAAGGCAGGACACCCUGUUCUGAAACAUCUGGCUGGACUGAGUUCCCAGACUCAGUAAUAAGAAAAACCACAGAUCCUGGCCAAGCUGUUUCCCAGGAUAUGGAGUGGAAUGUGGAAGUCAUGAGAAACAAAACACAAAUUAUGAGAGGACUGAUGUCAGGAAGAACUCAUCUUCUCAUUCGUACAGCUGGUAUAAAGACCGAGUUACAUCAAAGAAAAGCAAGGGAAGACUUCUAUGUGACGCAUGCAACAUGUUCAAAUAAAACAAACAGAAAUCCUUUUGGUGGUUUCUAGUCUCAGCUGUAAACUGGUAGCAAACUGCAUUAACAAGAAAAGAAACGUCCAGUGUUCCAAAUGUAGUAUUUCUACCACUCCAUAUUUCUAGCUACCAAAUGUUGUAUAUUUCGUUUAAUUUAUAUAUUUUAAAGACUGUAAUUCAUAUACCAUAUGAAAGCAUGAAUUUCAAGGUUUAAGCUGUCAUAGUCACCAGAAUUUUGAAUUACAUGAAUUUUUGAAGUUAUUUGAGUAUAUCCUCAACAGGUUUUUUGAUGACGUAAAGCAGAGUGGUGCAGUUGAUAUAAUAAAAGGAAGGAAUGCCAUCCAGAGGGACCUAGACAGACUUGGAAAGUGGGCCCAUGUGAACCUUAUGAGAUGCAACAAAGCCAUGUGCAAGAUGUUGUGCUUGGGUCUAGGCAAUCCCAGACAUGUUUGCAGUCUGUGAGAAGAACUCAUUGAGAGCAGCCCUAUGGAGAAGGACUUGAGAGUUCUGAUGGAUGAAAAGUUGAAUGUGAACCAACAGUGUGUUCUCACAGGCCUGAAGGCCAACAGUUUCCUGGGCUGCAUCAAAAGAACUGUGACCAGCAGGGAGAGGUAGGUGAUUGUCUCCUCUGCUCUGCCCUCAUCAUGCCCCAUCUGGAGUACUGUGUCCAAGUCCGGGGCCCUCAGCACAGGAAAGAUGUUGAGCUUUUGGAGAGGGUCCAGAGGAGGCCAUGAGACAACUCUCCUCUGAAGAAAGGCAGAGGGAGAUGGACUUGUUAACUUAGAGAGCAGAAGGCUAUGGGGAGACUUCAUUGUGACCUUCCAGUACUUGAAGGGAGUUUGUAAGCAGGAGGGAGACUGUCUUUUUAUGUGAUCUGAUAUUGAUAGAACAAAGGGGAAUGGUUUUAAUCUAAAAAAUUAAAGGAGAUAUGUGUGUUGCUAUGUAUUGCUGGUUUCUCUAAACACUGGCAAAGUACAAUAAAAUAUAUAUAAAAGAAAAUGUAUUCAAUAUCUAUGUUAACUCAGAGUUCAUUCAGGCACAAAAUUAGCAUGUAAUUUACUUAUUAGAAAAGUGAUCAGUAAAAUCCAGAUGCAAGGAACUGUUCAAAGGGUUUGUUGCCAAAAAUAUGAGGAUAUUUUGCCAUGGUUUUGAUUAGUAAAUACAUGGAAAACUGUGAUACUCAUCUUCAAAAACAUUUUUAGUUCAUUAUUUUUGUUAUGUCUGUCCUCUGAUCAGAUCUAGAUUCCAAACUUUACUGUUGUUCAUCUUUGAAUGUAAAGGGGAUGCAGGAACAUCUCUUUACUAUCAAAGCACUGUGCUUGUGCUAACACUUGGGGGCUUUCUUCCUGUCAUGUAGGCAAAAUGUUAAUUUAGGGGUAGUGCUACAUGCCAUCAAAGACAGUGGUUAUUAGGUGGUUGCAUCAGAUCUAUGACGCUCAACUGAAAGUCUGUUUUUUUUCUGCGUGGACUUCAACAAGACCCCCCCAACUGAGAUGAACUCUUGAAUAGCAAGGAAAAAUAGUCUUUUAUAUAGAAGCAAGCAGGUGAGUUACUUCAGGUGUCACUUUUAACAUCAAUAACUUUUUUUACAUUUGCCCCUGUAUUAUGAAAAAUGAGAUACCACAGUGUCUUUUAAUAUUUACUUGUAACACUUGCUGCUUUAGUGGUUUUCUAAACCACUUCAGGUUUUGUAUAAGUUACCAGCGAAAAUGGGGCUAAAAUGGACAGUGGAAUUUAGCAGCGCAGAACCAUGUAGCCAUAAGGACUUCCGGAGCACUCCGUUGUUCUUGUUCAUCUCUUCUAAAUUUCUACAAGCUUGUGCUGUAUGUUACUUUCAAAGUUAAAGGCAAGGAGCAUUAAUACUAAUGCUGAAGAUCACAGUUUCAAAUUGAAUAUGGCAAGUUGUUAAAUUUGCCCUGUUUUCAUAGCGGCGUGUCAAAAUGGUUUUUGAAUGUUCACACGGGAAAGAAGAAAUGCUCUGAUGCUUAUGAAUUCUUGUCUUUUGCUCUAUUUCCUGUACCUUUUUGGCAUUCAUCCUACUUGCCACAGAUCUCAUCUACCUGGAUUGUUGACUGUCUCGCUCUGAAUAGAGUGCAGAUGUGGGGGACAAGAUGGAGGAAAAAAAUGAGUCAGGAUUUGGAAUGGUUUAUUAUUUGAUUUUCUGUUUCAGUUCUAAUUCUUAUUCCUCUGUAGCUAGCGUAUUUAUUUCACCUUUUUCGUGCUCUAAAAUGCUUUUCCUUUUCUAUCUCCUUUUUUUGUGUAAUGACCUUGCUUUCCUUCUUGUUUCUGAUGCCCUUUAUGAACUCUCUGUCUCCAGCUUCCCAAUAGCUCUACUGAAAAACAGCAGAAGGCUCAGGCACUUUUUUCACUAAUGUAGAAAAACAAUUUUUGACUUUCAUAAACUAAGCCAUUCUAGAUCUGUAUGAAAGACAAUUUGGAAAUAAUUCAGACAUUCAAUGUAGUUUGGAAUCCUGUAUUUGAACCUCUUUUGGGUUGAGGUUUUUUUAUUUUUUUUUGUGGAUUUUUUUUUGUGUGUGUUUUGUUUGUUUGUUCUGUUUUUCAGGAUAUAAUAGCAUUAAGAUAGAGUUAAUUCACAGGAAAUAUCAAUUUGUUUGAGAAAGUCUUACUGUAGAGAUUCAGAGGGUUGCUAUUUUGAUUCAUUCUUUCUCUUCAGAAAGCUCCAGAGAAAAUGAAGUUUAAAAUUAAACGUCUAGUGGGGAAAUUGGUGCCAAAACAAGGCUUUGAAAUUAAUACUGUAGUUAACAAGUCACGAUUUUUAUGAUUUGCAAGUGAAAUUGCUCUUUUUAAUUAAAAAAAAAUAUGGAAGAGUGUUUACUUUCCAAACAUGAAAUAGUGUUGGAAGCUGUUCUUAAUUCUCUGGAUCUUCUGUGCUUUUAUCAAUGCUGCUACAAUGUCAGGUAAGCAAACACUGCAAAGAGCCCAAUUUCAGUGUUCCCACCUAAGCUUCUGGGACCAUUCCAAGGGCUUCAGUUGGCAUGGAUCAGCCUUUAUCUGCUAGAAGACUUGAGACAUUUAUUCAUCAAUAAUGUGAGGUAAGAUGCCCUAAUUCUCCCUUCGCCUCUUUCUACUCUUCUGACAGGUGACCGCGAUCUUUAAUUGUUUCCUUUUCUUCCUCUUUUGUUAAAAUCUAGCUUCAGAGUGCUGUUGUUUAAAAAAAAAAAAAAAAAAAAAAAAAAAAAAAAAAAAGCAAUUGAGAUCUUAGAAGCUAAAGAAAGCAGCCAUUGUAGUGCUUCUUGGAACAUUUUCAAGGAUGUAGAAGAUGGAAGGUGUUAAGCUAAUGAGAUGUACACUUUAUAUGUGUGUGUUACAGAAUAAUCUGUAAUUUUGUUUUAACAAAAGUCAUGAUGGUAGGAUGUAUCAGGGUUUGAGGAGUAUACUCAUAACAGAUCAAGUUCCUUUGUGUGCUAAACUGGCACUUGUGAGGUUUUAUUUUAUAGGUUUUUUUUUUUUUUAAGUUUAUGUGGAUACUUUUCCUGUCAUAAAAAUAGAGGAGAGACAACAGGGAAAUCUAAAGUAUGUGCACAUUUUUAAUCACUUUUCAUUCUUUAGCUGCAGUGAGUUGGUUGAUAAACAGUAUUGUUAAAACCCACUAAAGAAUGCAGUUAGCAAUAAAGAAAUAUGUGACAAUAUACUACUGUGUAUAAAAACAAACUUUAAUGGAUUAUAAUGAAAUCCUAUCUUCUUUCGUAAUGUUAUUCAUUUUAGGAGAUGCUAGCUCUGUAAAAAAUGCCCACAAAUCUUGUAUUGCUUAUUUUAUUUAUGGUUAAAGAUCACCUCUACAAUUUGCCAUCCCUGUAAUAGUACUUUAACGUCUUGGUGGGUAAGGUAAUUUUGUAUUAGUGAAUUGAAACGUAUUUAAGCAGUUUCUCUUGAGGUAUGGCUAAGAAAAUUCUUAAAAUUUGUGUAGUUCACCAAGUGCCUUUGCUUAGCAAAUACAGUGGCACAAUGUAGGAACUUGCAGGUGUCUUCUGAGCUUUUAAGGCCAGAGAUGUGUGAAGUACCUACUAGGCAAUGGAAAAACAAUAUUCAACAUCAUCUGGCCACCUACAGAGGUGGGCAUUGCUCUAACUUUCACUCUUUAACAGUUUUGAGUAGUAAAAGAACAGAUUUCAUCCACAUUGACCAGAGAUCAAACCUAACUGCUUGUAUGAGCCUAGAUAAUACCCAUGUCUUCACAUGGGAGCAGCAGCCCAGAGUGCACCUGCUGAAAGGCAGAACAGUGCUGGAUUCUACAUUCUGAAUAGAGGAAGGUUGUUGGUGUCUGUUAUACACCCAUCUUGAAGUUUGCAUGGAGUGCUUUCCCUUUGCUGCAAAAUCCCAAGCAGUGCCGGAAGGUGCAAUGGGGCACAGUCCUACCCAGAACAUUCACGUACAGGAUCUGCCAGGACCAUGACUGUGAUCAGGCUGAGCCUCUGUGCAA
ensembl:lncRNA